rnacentral:rRNA from 1 species
CGUACGCACUGGCCCAACUGAUUGAUGGUGCUUGCACCUGAUUGACGAUGGAUCACCAGUGAGUGGCGGACGGGUGAGUAACACGUAGGUAACCUGCCCCGGAGCGGGGGAUAACAUUUGGAAACAGAUGCUAAUACCGCAUAACAACAAAAGCCACAUGGCUUUUGUUUAAAAGAUGGCUUUGGCUAUCACUCUGGGAUGGACCUGCGGUGCAUUAGCUAGUUGGUAAGGUAACGGCUUACCAAGGCGAUGAUGCAUAGCCGAGUUGAGAGACUGAUCGGCCACAAUGGAACUGAGACACGGUCCAUACUCCUACGGGAGGCAGCAGUAGGGAAUCUUCCACAAUGGGCGCAAGCCUGAUGGAGCAACACCGCGUGAGUGAAGAAGGGUUUCGGCUCGUAAAGCUCUGUUGUUGGAGAAGAACGUGCGUGAGAGUAACUGUUCAUGCAGUGACGGUAUCCAACCAGAAAGUCACGGCUAACUACGUGCCAGCAGCCGCGGUAAUACGUAGGUGGCAAGCGUUAUCCGGAUUUAUUGGGCGUAAAGCGAGCGCAGGCGGUUGCUUAGGUCUGAUGUGAAAGCCUUCGGCUUAACCGAAGAAGUGCAUCGGAAACCGGGCGACUUGAGUGCAGAAGAGGACAGUGGAACUCCAUGUGUAGCGGUGGAAUGCGUAGAUAUAUGGAAGAACACCAGUGGCGAAGGCGGCUGUCUGGUCUGCAACUGACGCUGAGGCUCGAAAGCAUGGGUAGCGAACAGGAUUAGAUACCCUGGUAGUCCAUGCCGUAAACGAUGAGUGCUAGGUGUUGGAGGGUUUCCGCCCUUCAGUGCCGGAGCUAACGCAUUAAGCACUCCGCCUGGGGAGUACGACCGCAAGGUUGAAACUCAAAGGAAUUGACGGGGGCCCGCACAAGCGGUGGAGCAUGUGGUUUAAUUCGAAGCUACGCGAAGAACCUUACCAGGUCUUGACAUCUUGCGCUAACCUUAGAGAUAAGGCGUUCCCUUCGGGGACGCAAUGACAGGUGGUGCAUGGUCGUCGUCAGCUCGUGUCGUGAGAUGUUGGGUUAAGUCCCGCAACGAGCGCAACCCUUGUUACUAGUUGCCAGCAUUAAGUUGGGCACUCUAGUGAGACUGCCGGUGACAAACCGGAGGAAGGUGGGGACGACGUCAGAUCAUCAUGCCCCUUAUGACCUGGGCUACACACGUGCUACAAUGGACGGUACAACGAGUCGCAAGCUCGCGAGAGUAAGCUAAUCUCUUAAAGCCGUUCUCAGUUCGGACUGUAGGCUGCAACUCGCCUACACGAAGUCGGAAUCGCUAGUAAUCGCGGAUCAGCAUGCCGCGGUGAAUACGUUCCCGGGCCUUGUACACACCGCCCGUCACACCAUGGGAGUUUGUAACGCCCAAAGUCGGUGGCCUA